CACGUAGGGCGCGAGCGUUGUUCGGAAUUACUGGGCGUAAAGAGUGUGUAGGCGGUGCUCUAAGUUCGGUGUGAAAUCUCCCGGCUUAACUGGGAGGGUGCGCCGGAAACUGGAGUGCUCGAGCGUGGGAGAGGAAAGCGGAAUUCCUGGUGUAGCGGUGAAAUGCGUAGAUAUCAGGAGGAACACCUGUGGUGUAGACAGCUUACUGGACCAUUUCUGACGCUGAGACACGAAAGCGUGGGUAGCAAACAGG
rnacentral:rRNA from 1 species